rnacentral:rRNA from 1 species
AGUACAGACGAGUUUGAUCAUGGCUCAGACGACGCUGGCGGCAGGCCUAACACAUGCAAGUCGAGCGCCCCGCAAGGGGAGCGGCGGACGGGUGAGUAACGCGUGGGAACGUACCCUUUGCUACGGAAUAGCCUCGGGAAACUGGGAGUAAUACCGUAUGUGCCCUUCGGGGGAAAGAUUUAUCGGCAAAGGAUCGGCCCGCGUUGGAUUAGGUAGUUGGUGGGGUAAUGGCCUACCAAGCCGACGAUCCAUAGCUGGUUUGAGAGGAUGAUCAGCCACACUGGGACUGAGACACGGCCCAGACUCCUACGGGAGGCAGCAGUGGGGAAUCUUAGACAAUGGGCGCAAGCCUGAUCUAGCCAUGCCGCGUGAGCGAUGAAGGCCUUAGGGUUGUAAAGCUCUUUCAGUGGGGAAGAUAAUGACUGUACCCACAGAAGAAGCCCCGGCUAACUCCGUG